UACAAAAGUAUAUGUUUUGUAAGCUAUUAUAAAUAGCAAAUACCUAAUUCCAAUCUUUAAAAAAAAAAUAAAAAUUGCAUUUCAGUAAGAUUUAAUUUAAUAACGGUAAGGUUAGUUUUCCAACUCCCUCCUCAAGCAAGUCUCAUUACUUCAGGUUGCUUGAGCUCUGUCCAGUCCAACUGAACCCUUCAAAAUGGAUGGAGAUGCUGCAAGUUCUGCUGAAUGCUGAUUGCUGCUGUGCAUUGGAACCACAGAACUUUGUGUCUGGGCAUGUCUAACAGGUCCCAAGAGGUGCCUCCUCCAUUUAGGCUUGCAUGAGCCUACUAUGGAAGGGUUUACGUAAGUAGCUCAGGAUUCAAAAGUUAGCACAUUACUUGCAGAAGAGAGGUUUGGAUCCAGAUGAGUGCUGGGAACCUCUUCUUCCACCUUCCUGGGAGACCAGAGCUGCACCAGGUCAGAUCCCCGAUUUGAACCCAUCAUCCACCGAAACAGCUUCCUGCUGCUGUCACAAACAUCUUUUUGUCCCUUUGAAGCUCUUAUUUAACACAAGGCACUGCMUUUGGGACCUGAUGGUGCAUCCUCUACUUUCAAGAACUCAUUCCAUAAGUGAUCAGGAACUAAGCAGCAUGGAAAAGAGGUAUCACAUGAACAGAGAAACACUGUUAUUUUAACUUUUUGCAUACCAUGGUGACUCUGGUUUAGUCCUAGCAGAAUGCACAUGUUUCUCUCUCAGGCUGUGGCUGUGCUGCUGAAUGCUGGGGCUGCAGGCAGGGGAUGGGACACACCUCACAGAACAUGGCCUGACAAAUUCCUAAAUAUGGCAUCAGAAAUUGCUGGAUSUGAGAUAU